UGUGUGUGUGUGUGUGUGUGUGUGUGUGUGUGUGUGUUUGUGGUUCUUUAUAUUCUAGAUACAUGACUGGCAAAAUAUUGUCCCUUAUCAGAGUACCAAUUUGCAAAAAAACUCACAAACACAUGCUCGCGCACGCACACACACACAUACACACACACA
rnacentral:miRNA from 1 species